GAUGAACGCUGGCGGCGUGCCUAAUACAUGCAAGUCGAGCGAACAGACGAGGAGCUUGCUCCUCUGACGUUAGCGGCGGACGGGUGAGUAACACGUGGAUAACCUACCUAUAAGACUGGGAUAACUUCGGGAAACCGGAGCUAAUACCGGAUAAUAUAUUGAACCGCAUGGUUCAAUAGUUAUAGACGGUUUUUCUGUCCCUUAUAGAUGGAUCCGCGCCUCAUUAGCUAGUUGGUAAGGUAACGGCUUACCAAGGCAACGAUGCGUAGCCGACCUGAGAGGGUGAUCGGCCACACUGGGACUGAGACACGGUCCAGACUCCUACGGGAGGCAGCAGUAGGGAAUCUUCCGCAAUGGGCGAAAGCCUGACGGAGCAACGCCGCGUGAGUGAUGAAGGUCUUCGGAUCGUAAAACUCUGUUAUUAGGGAAGAACAAAUGUGUAAGUAACUAUGCACGUCUUGACGGUACCUAAUCAGAAAGCCACGGCUAACUACGUG
rnacentral:rRNA from 1 species